rnacentral:rRNA from 1 species
CAGCCGCCGCGGUAAUACCGGCGGCCCGAGUGGCGGUCACUAUUAUUGGGCUUAAAGCGUCCGUAGCCGGGUUGGGAAGUCCUCCGGGAAAUCUGGCCGCUUAACGGUCAGAAUGCCGGAGGAUACUCCCAGCCUAGGGAGCGGGAGAGGCCGAGGGGAUUCCCGGAGUAGGGGUGAAAUCCUAUAAUCCCGGGAGGACCACCUGUGGCGAAGGCGCUCGGCUGGAACGCGUCCGACGGUGAGGGGCGAAGGCCAGGGGAGCAAACCGGAUUAGAUACCCGGGUAGUCCUGGCUGUAAACGAUGCGGACUUUGUGUCGGACAAGCUAUGAGCUUGUCCGGUGCCGGAGGGAAACCGUUAAGUCCGCCGCCUGGGGAGUACGGCCGCAAGGCUGAAACUUAAAGGAAUUGGCGGG